rnacentral:tRNA from 1 species
CGGGGUGUAGUGCAGUGGCUAGCGAGAUUAGGUCGGGACGAAGAGGCCGGUGGUUCGAGUCCAUUUACCCCGGCCA